GUGACAGCACAGUCCCUGCUUUGCCUAGCUCUGUGCUGCAAGUCUCUCAGGUAACAGGUGGCAGCUUCCCCUGUUGGAUUCUAGGUUUAAAAAAGAAUGACCUCAUGUGGGUGGAGCUCUGGGACUUCGUAGAGGUGGUGGCAGUCACAGCCAGGUAACCCUGGAGUGAAGCGGUUUAGUUAGAAGGGAGCAGAUAAACUCGUCACUCUAGUAGCUUUAACCCUCACCCUGAGGCACCUUAGCAAUCAGCCAUUGCCUGCAAGCCUCCAAAGCUUGUCUUUGCCUAAUAUGGAGCCCAAAGAAGCCACUGGGAAAGAAAACAUGGUCACCAAGAAAAAGAAUCUGGCCUUCUUGAGGUCUAGACUCUAUAUGCUGGAGAGAAGGAAGACUGACACUGUGGUUGAGAGCAGUGUUUCUGGGGACCACUCUGGCACCUUGAGGAGGAGCCAAUCUGACAGGACCGAAUACAACCAGAAAUUACAAGAUGCUGUGUCUUGAGGGUUACAAUGAACAGCAAAAACAGAAUAUGUGCCAGGAAUUACAACUACAAAAUCAUCAAGAAAACAUGUCUGACCUUUACUCCAAAGAGGCUCAAAGUCUGGUUGGGAAAGAUAAGACAGUGAAUCAAUUUAGUGAAUCCAAAUGACUUUGUCCAGGUCACAGAGGAAGUGGGUGUCAUUGCCAGAACUGAACUCUAUGCCUCCCUGUCCAGCAAAAUUCCACUACAUAGAACAUGAUGUACCAUGAUCACGACAGUUCCAGUCAGGGAGUGAAGGGAGAGAGCCCAGGCUUCGGAGCUAAGCACAUAAAGUUUGAAUCCAGCUCUUCUGCAUAUUCUAUGAAUCACUGAAUAUAUUUACAUACAUUCACUGUAUUCAGUUUCAUCUCUAAAAUUAGCAUAAUAUCCCAUUUUUAGAGUUGUGAGAAAGAUAAUAAAUAAUGCAUAUUUUAAAAACUGGUAAAUAAAAAGUUCUUGAAAGUGGUUGCUCUUAUUAUAGGCUUAUCACAAUACAUUAUAAUCAAAUAUAAUUGCAGUAAUAGUGUAUAAUGCUUUAAUAUCAAAAAUAAUUUGGGGGAACAUACACGUUUAUAAACAAAAUGCAGUAUGUAUUAGUCUGUUCUCAUGCUGCUGAUAAAGACAUACCUGAGACUGGGUAAUUUAUAAAGGAAAGAGAUUUAAUUGACUCAGAGUUCCACAGGGCUGGGGAGGCCUCAGGAAACUCACAAUCAUGGCAGAAGAGGAAGCAAACACAUCCUUCUCAUGGCAACAUGAGAAGGGGAACUAUGAGUGAAGAGUGGGGAAAAGGCCCUUGUAAAACUGUCAAAUCUUGUGAGAAUUCACUGUCCAAAAACAGCAGCCUAGGGGUAACCAUCCUUGUAACCAUCCUUAUGAUUCAAUUACCUCCCACCAGGUCCCUCCCAUGACACGUAGGGAUUAUGGGAUCUACAAUUCAAGAUGAGAUUUGGGUGGGGACACAGCCAAUCCAUAUCAUGGUAUAUAUACACAAUGGAGCAUCAUCAGCCUUAAAAGGAAAGGAAAUUCUGAUAACAUGAUAUAACAUCAAUGAACCUUGAGGAAACAUGAUACAACACAGAUGAACCUUGAUUACAUUCCGCUAACUGAAAUAAGCCAGACACAAAAGGACAAAUACUGUAUGACGCUACUUAUAUGAAGUACAUACUAGUCAUAUUCAUAGAGACAAAAAGCAGAAUGAUGGUUGCCAGGGGCUGGAGGGAGGAAGAAAUGCAUAAGUAUUGUUUAAUAGGUAUAAAAUUUGCUUAGAAAGAUGAAAACAUUCUGGAGACGUUUGGUGGUAAUGGUUGUCCAACAAUGUGAAUGCAUUUAAUGCCGCUGAACUGCACACUUAAAAAUAGUUACCAUUAUACAUUUUAUGUCAUGUAUAUUUUACUACAAUGAAAAAGUUGGAGAAAAAAGAAUAUAUCCAUCUACGGGAGGAAAAAUUUGUUAUUAAAAUUAUUGAAAUAAGAAUUGCAGUCCUAAAAUUAACUCAUACCUCAUCCUUUUUUUUUCUUUUUC
rnacentral:lncRNA from 1 species